rnacentral:rRNA from 1 species
AUUGAACGCUGGCGGCAUGCCUUACACAUGCAAGUCGAACGGCAGCACGGGAGCAAUCCUGGUGGCGAGUGGCGAACGGGUGAGUAAUAUAUCGGAACGUGCCCGGUCGUGGGGAUAACGUAGCGAAAGCUACGCUAAUACCGCAUACGAUCUACGGAUGAAAGCGGGGGAUCGCAGGACCUCGCGCGAUUGGAGCGGCCGAUAUCAGAUUAGGUAGUUGGUGAGGUAAAGGCUCACCAAGCCGACGAUCUGUAGCUGGUCUGAGAGGACGACCAGCCACACUGGGACUGAGACACGGCCCAGACUCCUACGGGAGGCAGCAGUGGGGAAUUUUUGGGACAAUGGGCGCAAGCCUGAUCCAGCAAUGCCGCGUGCAGGAUGAAGGCCU